rnacentral:rRNA from 1 species
GGUGGGGUAAAGGCCUACCAAGCCUACGAUCCGUAGCUGGUCUGAGAGGACGAUCAGCCACACUGGGACUGAGACACGGCCCAGACUCCUACGGGAGGCAGCAGUGGGGAAUCUUGCGCAAUGGGCGAAAGCCUGACGCAGCAACGCCGCGUGCGGGAUGAAGGCCUUCGGGCUGUAAACCGCUUUCAGCAGGAACGAAAAUGACGGUACCUGCAGAAGAAGGAGCGGCUAACUACGUGCCAGCAGCCGCGGUAAUACGUAGGGGGCAAGCGUUAUCCGGAUUUACUGGGUGUAAAGGGAGCGUAGACGGCUUGGUAAGUCUGAUGUGAAAGCCCAGGGCUCAACCCUGGGACUGCAUUGGAAACUACCUGGCUAGAGUGCAGGAGAGGUAAGUGGAAUUCCUAGUGUAGCGGUGAAAUGCGCAGAUAUAAGGAGGAACACCGGUGGCGAAGGCGCCACUCUGGACCGAAACUGACGCUGAGGAGCGAAAGCGUGGGUAGCAAACAGGAUUAGAUACCCUGGUAGUCCACGCGGUAAACGGUGGGAACUAGGUGUGGGAUUCAACUAACGAAUUCCGCGCCGUCGCUAACGCAUUAAGUUCCCCGCCUGGGGAGUACGGUCGCAAGACUAAAACUCAAAGGAAUUGACGG